rnacentral:rRNA from 1 species
CCUACGGGAAGCUGCAGUGGGGAAUAUUGGACAAUGGGGGCAACCCUGAUCCAGCCAUGCCGCGUGUGUGAAGAAGGCCCUCGGGUUGUAAAGCACUUUCAGUGAGGAAGAACGCCUGGUGGUUAAUACCCAUCAGGAAAGACAUCACUCACAGAAGAAGCACCGGCUAACUCCGUGCCAGCAGCCGCGGUAAUACGGAGGGUGCGAGCGUUAAUCGGAAUUACUGGGCGUAAAGCGCGCGUAGGUGGCUUGAUAAGCCGGUUGUGAAAGCCCCGGGCUCAACCUGGGAACGGCAUCCGGAACUGUCAAGCUAGAGUGCAGGAGAGGAAGGUAGAAUUCCCGGUGUAGCGGUGAAAUGCGUAGAGAUCGGGAGGAAUACCAGUGGCGAAGGCGGCCUUCUGGACUGACACUGACACUGAGGUGCGAAAGCGUGGGUAGCAAACAGGAUUAGAUACCCUAGUAGUC